rnacentral:rRNA from 1 species
UUCCGGUUGAUCCCGCCGGAGGCCACUGCUAUGGGGGUCCGACUAAGCCAUGCGAGUCAUGGGGUCCCUUCGGGGACACCGGCGGACGGCUCAGUAACACGUCGGUAACCUACCCUCGGGAGGGGGAUAACCCCGGGAAACUGGGGCUAAUCCCCCAUAGGCCUGGGGUACUGGAAGGUCCCCAGGCCGAAAGGGGCUCUGCCCGCCCGAGGAUGGGCCGGCGGCCGAUUAGGUAGUUGGUGGGGUAACGGCCCACCAAGCCGAAGAUCGGUACGGGCCAUGAGAGUGGGAGCCCGGAGAUGGACACUGAGACACGGGUCCAGGCCCUACGGGGCGCAGCAGGCGCGAAACCUCCGCAAUGCGGGCAGCCGCGACGGGGGGACCCCCAGUGCCGUGGCAAAGCCACGGCUUUUCCGGAGUGUAAAAAGCUCCGGGAAUAAGGGCUGGGCAAGGCCGGUGGCAGCCGCCGCGGUAAUACCGGCGGCCCAAGUGGUGGCCGCUAUUAUUGGGCCUAAAGCGUCCGUAGCCGGGCCCGUAAGUCCCUGGCGAAAUCCCACGGCUCAACCGUGGGGCUUGCUGGGGAUACUGCGGGCCUUGGGACCGGGAGAGGCGGGGGGUACCCCUGGGGUAGGGGUGAAAUCCUAUAAUCCCAGGGGGACCGCCAGUGGCGAAGGCGCCCCGCUGGAACGGGUCCGACGGUGAGGGACGAAGGCCAGGGGAGCGAACCGGAUUAGAUACCCGGGUAGUCCUGGCUGUAAAGGAUGCGGGCUAGGUGUCGGGCGAGCUUCGAGCUCGCCCGGUGCCGGAGGGAAGCCGUUAAGCCCGCCGCCUGGGGAGUACGGCCGCAAGGCUGAAACUUAAAGGAAUUGGCGGGGGAGCACUACAAGGGGUGGAGCGUGCGGUUUAAUUGGAUUCAACGCCGGA